rnacentral:rRNA from 1 species
UACGGAGGGUGCAAGCGUUAAUCGGAAUUACUGGGCGUAAAGCGUGCGCAGGCGGUUUGUUAAGUCCGCUGUGAAAUCCCCGAGCUCAACUUGGGAAUUGCAGUGGAUACUGGCAAGCUGGAGUAUGGUAGAGGAAGGUGGAAUUCCCGGUGUAGCAGUGAAAUGCGUAGAGAUCGGGAGGAACACCAGUGGCGAAGGCGGUUCUCUGGGCCUUACCUGACACUGAGGAGCGAAAGCGUGGGGAGCGAACAGG